rnacentral:rRNA from 1 species
UACGUAGGGUGCGAGCGUUAAUCGGAAUUACUGGGCGUAAAGCGUGCGCAGGCGGUGAGCUGUGUCCGAUGUGAAAGCCCCGGGCUUAACCUGGGAAUGGCGUUGGAAACUGGCUCGCUGGAGUGUGGCAGAGGGGGGUGGAAUUCCGCGUGUAGCAGUGAAAUGCGUAGAGAUGCGGAGGAACACCGAUGGCGAAGGCAGCCCCCUGGGCUAACACUGACGCUCAGGCACGAAAGCGUGGGGAGCAAACAGG